CGGAGCCAGCGUUCAGUCGUUGCUAGCAACAAAAUCAGUUACUUUGUGCGUUAAUUAGUGGCUUUACCUGUUCGAGGAUGAGCUUGGGUUCAACGUGUGCUGUUGUCGGCUGCCACAAUAAUUCAAGAAAACUGAAAAACGCAUUAGAAACAUUUUGCCUUGAGCAUCAACAACUUAGAAAGGCCUGUCCGUGCCCACCGCCCUACGCACUGCACUCUAUGCCGCGGAAGGAGGAUCGGAAACUAGCGUGGCUGGCAGCUUUAAGACUCAAACACCCUCCAAAGAGAGUUUAUGUUUGCUCCUUUCAUUUUAUCGACAAAAAGCCCACAGAGCUACACCCCGACCCGGAGCUUUAUCUGGGCUAUGACCGACCCCCACCAAAGAAAAGAAGAAAGCUCACUCGGACCACUUUGAGUGUGACAGCUUCCAGUGAUACGAACAACACAGAAUCUGUACCCGACUCCACAGUGUUACGUUCAGUGGAAUUAGACCAGGCCAGCAUCUCCACACAACCCCCUGAGCCACAUCUGCACUCAGUCCACACACAGUGGGAGGAUCCUUCGCAACAAGACCAUCAAUACUGCAACAGGUGCAGAAUGCUGUGAUCAGUGGAAAGACCGGGCUUGCGUGUACAGACGAGCAGCGCAGGUGGAAUGCAGGGACAGCAAAGAACCUUGAACCUAAACCUGUUGCACCAUGUGGACUAAUCAUGUUUGUGUCUGCGGCAUAUGGCGGCCGAUGUAGUGACAAAUUUAUCACAAUGGACUCUGGAAUAUUAACAUACCUAAAACCUGGUGAUGAAGUCAUGGCAGAUAGAGGUUUUAC